GCCCGCUCCCGCCUCCCCGUGACGGGCGGCUCAGUCAGUCAGCAGGCCGGGAGACUAGCUCCGCCCAGGUGUGGCUCGAAGGAGGCGGUGGCUUCCGGAGUAGCACCUUCCCAGAAGACCCCGGCAGAUCCGCGCUCGAGUUUUCAUUGGUCUAACCAGAUCACAGACUCCAGCGCGAUUGGUCAGGUGAGAUCCGUGAUUGAAUGACAGCUUCUAGGUUCCGCCCCGGAACUGGGAUUGGUGUGGUCUCUACUUAGAGUGGUAGAGGUCGUUUUUCGUCGCUGCAAUGGGUGAGGAAGUGCUCGCCUCCCGUUUACCUGUUUUGGCGUGAUUUUAGUGAGAAGAGUCGUGAAAUUUAACAACUUGGCACAGUCACGGGAAACAGCCGGAGAAUAGCACGGGAAACAGCAGACCGAUCCCACUAAGGCUUUCAAUCAGCCACAGCAUGUGGGGCGCCAGGAGGUGCCGCGGGGUGCCGGGGAUGUUUCACUCCGCCGUUCCGGGGGCCGGCCGAGCCCCUGCGGAGGUCUUCACGGUCAAGCACCUGAGCUGAUCACUCCUCUUUAUAGUUUAAGCCUCUUAGAGUUGACAUCUUAAUGGACAGAGAGGAAAACCAGCUUUAGUCACAUGAAAACGUAAUAACUGAAAGCGAGAGAAGAGGUGACGGUGACGUUGAGGAUGGGGGUGAGGCUGGAAAGUGACAGAAGGAUGCUGAAAGGAAACUGGCAGUCUCCCUUCUGGUGUCCUGUGAAUUGAGGGCCUCCAGCUCUGGCCCAGAGAUAUAGGGCUUUUCUACUAUGGCUCCUCUGUCUUGGAUCAUCACAGCAGCAUCAUGAGGUCUGUCUCAGGUGAUCCCAAGAAGCUCCAGUAGGGAGUGGGGAGGUAAGACACGGAAGAGAAAGAAGGCAGUUUCCAGAGACCUUCACAAUGGUCCUGUGAAGCUGGUUUUAUGACUCCCUCCACUAUACAGAUGAGGAAACUGAGGCUGAGAGGUGAGGCUGGCUGCCCUAUGAGGAGCAGUGUUAUGCACUUCAUGGGGGCAGGACUCCAGAGAGGCGUGACUCACGCCUGAAGGACCAAGGGGUGCGCAGCGAGUCUCCCUGGCUGGAUGGUGUGUGGCGGCCUGUUCAAGUGCUGUGACCCGAGUGCCCUUCCCUGCGUGGCUCCAGGUUAGAGGUGGCCAAAGGAGGGACUUGCCUAAGGUCCUGGAUGCCACAGCGAGGCAGCAGCUGUCACUCUCCAGUGUCAUCGGGGUUGGAUAUGGUGAUGGACAGCCGCAGAGGUGUCCCGUGAGUCCUGGUGGUCCUCCUGACUGCUGACCCUGCAGACCAGCAGCGGCCUAGGCUUGGCCACAGCCCCACCGAGGGGAACCGUGAACACUAAAUAAUCAGAGGUCCAUCUGCUAAUUAGAAAGGAAUUCUGUUUUAACCCUGAAUUCCCAAGCUGGGCAGAGGAUAUAACCUUUUGAGCCUCAGUGUCGUCAUCUGGAAAAUGGAAAUGAUAAUAACAACAGUAAUAACGACAGCGCCUCCCUCCUAAGAUGGUGAGGGAAUGCGCCAAAGCAGAGGGACAAAUCAGUUUAGGGCCUGCCUGACCCAAGGUAAGGCCUCAUGUCGCAGCCUCCACCGUUCAACGGUUUUACUGAAGCAUGAGACACAUAAACAUGUUCCCAAACGUUCCCAAAUCACAGUGUCCAGCUCAGCACGACCUUGCAAGGUGAAACCUGCACCGCGCUGAGAAUAUCUCCAGCACCCAGAACCCCCACCCACGUGCCCCACAAGUAUGACCACUAACUGGGUCCCAGCAGCUAGGGGUCGUUUAGCCUGUUUUGAACUUCUUAUGAGUGGACUCCCAGGGUGCACCCUUCUGUGUCCGGCGCCUUCCGCUCAGCAUCGCGCUGUGACAUUCAUCCACGGGACUGUGUAGCUGCAGGUGUUUGUUCUCCCUCCCAGGUAUAGAUCACUCCACAGUCUAUGAAUUCAUUCUACUUUUGAUGGGCAAUUGCAGCUCUUUCCGUGAGUGCAGCUGUGCACAGCCCAGUGGCCGGUGGUGCCUAGCCCAGCAGUGCCCGCGUCACUGGGGCUGGCUGGACACACAGACUGGCCCUCCUGCAGAAUCGGGAAGGGUCCCCAGGCCUGGUCUAAUCCUGUCAGUGUAGGAGCCUUGCAGGAGCCUCCCCUGUAUAGAGGUCAGAGACUCAGCCCCCCAGGUGCCCGGGUCUCACUGGGUCAUAAGACCACUCGGCAGUCCAGUGGCGCCAAGACGCACCAUGUGCUCUUUGAUGGGAUGGCAUGCGUGAAGGCAAGCUCUGCCUAAGCUGGGGUCAGCCGAGCAUUUUUGUAAGGAGGGCCCUUUGCUCGUAUCCAUGGUGGCCUCUGCUGUGCUGAGAGGUGGGCACAAAAGCAAAGUGGGAGGCUGGGAGGCUGAGCAAGCCUAGAGAAGGGAAAGGAGAGGCAGGUGGCUGCAGGCUGUGCUGCAGCGAGGAAGACAAGUGGGAGAAGACAUGGGGUGGGGGCUGCGGGGGGAGCUGCAGAGAGCAUGGCCCAGAUGAUGGCCUCACCGUCACCUUUAAAAGUCAACCUGGGCAGGCAGCACCCCUUCAGAGAGAGAAGAGUUGUUUCACCCCCAACGUUCCCAGAUCCUGUCCCAGUCCGUUCCUUUCACCCCCAGCCCCAGGAAACCACCGAUCUGCCCCUGCCACUGUGGCGAGGUGUGUGUCUUCUAGAACUGCCCAUGAAUGGAACCAGUACUUGUGUGUGGUCCUUUGCAUCUGGUUGCUUUUGUUCAGUGCAAUACCUUUGCGAUUCGCCCAUGUUAGGUGCAUUAAUGGUCGGCCCCUUUUAAUUGCUAAGUAGUGUUCCACUGUAAGGAUAUUCCACAGUCUCUAUCCAUUGACCUGUAGCCUGUUUUCAGUUUUCAGUUAUUACAAAUAAAGCUUCUAGGGAACAAUUUCCUGGAAGCCUUUUUAUGGUGUUAUCUUUUCAUUUCCCUUGAGUAAAUAUCUAGAAGUAGCAUUGCUGUCUUGUGCCUCAGUGUCCAUUUCCCAAAGUGAUUGCACCAUUUUAUAUCCCACCAGCAUGGUGUCAGAGCUCUCAUUCUUCCACAUCCUCACCCGCACUUGGUGAGAACAGUUAAAGCACAAAGGACUUCUAGUUGGCCGAGGUAUAAGCUGCUAAGUUGGCCUCAUGCUGGGACUGUGCUCAACAGAGGGUGGUUGCCGCUGGGGAGUAGCAUGCACGUUGGGAUCACUGGGAAAGUUUUUUAAGAUUGCCCCGUCUGGGCCCCACCCUAGAUCAAUCAAACCAGGGUGGUUCCCAAGCAUAAGCCUUUUUCAAAGCUGCUCAGCAGAGGCUGAGAACCACUGCUGCAGAAAAAGUCGCGUCCAACAGAGAGACAUAUUUUGCAGAGAAGGCUGGGACCUGGUGCCAGUGAAGGA